rnacentral:rRNA from 1 species
AUUGAACGCUGGCGGCAGGCCUAACACAUGCAAGUCGAACGGUAACAGGAAGACGCUUGCUUCUUUGCUGCCGAGUGGCGGGCGGGUGAGUAAUGUCUGGGAAACUGCCUGAUGGAGGGGGAUAACUACUGUAAACGGUAGCUAAUACCGCAUAACGUCGCAAGACCAAAGAGGGGGACCUUCGGGCCUCUUGCCAUCUGAUGUGCCCAGAUGGGAUUAGCUAGUAGGUGGGGUAACGGCUCACCUAGGCGACGAUCCCUAGCUGGUCUGAGAGGAUGACCAGCCACACUGGAACUGAGACACGGUCCAGACUCCUACGGGAGGCAGCAGUGGGGAAUAUUGCACAAUGGGCGCAAGCCUGAUGCAGCCAUGCCGCGUGUAUGAAGAAGGCCUUCGGGUUGUAAAGUACUUUCAGCGGGGAGGAAGGGAGUAAAGUUAAUACCUUGGCUCAUUGACGUUACCCGCAGAAGAAGCACCGGCUAACUCCGUG